rnacentral:misc_RNA from 1 species
GCUCACGAUUGCCCAUCGACGGUGCCCGUUCGCCGCCAUCUACCGUCAGCUUCCGUCCACUUCGUGUCUCCGCCGUUUGCGCCACGACGGCCCAGAGAACAGUGUCACACAUUGCAUCUCCAGGAUCACUUUACGAAGUUCUUGGGAUUCAGAUGGGCGCCACGUGUCAAGAGAUCAAGGCUGCUUAUAGGAGACUAGCAAGAGUUUUGCAUCCUGAUGUUGCAACUAACGGUCAAAGUAAGGAGACAACUUACGAAUUCAUAA